UGAGGAAUAUUGCGCAAUGGGGGCAACCCUGACGCAGCGACGCCGCGUGAGUGAGGAAGGCCUUCGGGUCGUAAAGCUCUGUCAAAGGGAAAGAAGUGCAUGGUGGCUAAUACCUGCCAUGUUUGACGGUACCCUUAAAGGAAGCACCGGCUAACUCCGGGCCAGCAGCCGCGGUAAUACGGAGGGUGCAAGCGUUGUUCGGAAUCACUGGGCGUAAAGGGCGCGUAGGCGGUUGGAUAAGUCAGAUGUGAAAGCCCACGGCUUAACUGUGGAAGUGCAUUUGAAACUGUCAGACUUGAGUAUGAGAGGGGAGAGUGGAAUUCCCGGUGUAGAGGUGAAAUUCGUAGAUAUCGGGAGGAACACCGGUGGCGAAGGCGACUUUCUGGCUGAAUACUGACGCUGAGGCGCGAAAGCGUGGGGAGCAAACA
rnacentral:rRNA from 1 species